UACGUAGGUGGCGAGCGUUGUCCGGAUUUACUGGGCGUAAAGAGCGCGCAGGCGGUCGUACAAGUCGCGUGUGAAAGCCCCCGGCUCAACUGGGGAGGGUCACGCGAUACUGAUCGACUCGAAGGCAGGAGAGGGAAGUGGAAUUCCCGGUGUAGUGGUGAAAUGCGUAGAUAUCUGGAGGAACACCGGUGGCGAAGGCGGCAUCCUGGACCGGCAUUGACGCUGAGGCGCGAAAGCCAGGGGAGCAAACGGG
rnacentral:rRNA from 1 species